rnacentral:lncRNA from 1 species
AUCGAAGGGCCUGGCCGCUUGAGUCUAGAAUCGGCAGGACAGAUAAAUAUUCGAGGUAUAACUCGAGGUGGUUGGCGGUGGUCGUUGGGGGUGGUUAGGGGUGGUUGCGGGUAAUCAAGGUGAUUCCGGAGGAGGGAGACGAGGAUUUGUGCUCGGUAUACCCGUGGUGGAUAUCGGUGGUUGUUGUAGGUGAUUGGCGGUGGUUGAAGGUGUUCGGAGUUGGACGAG